GUGCUGAGAGGUCUCUACGGGAGCAGUAUGUGCUCUUGACUACCCAAGUUAUAUCUUCUUGUGUGUGUUUUUUCACAUGUCUGUGUUUCCACAUGUGUGAAGAUGUCUACCGAGGUCAGAAGAGGGUCUUGGAUCCUUGUUAGCUGUCCCAUCACCCCUUUUGUGAAAUUCUGUUGCUUUCCCAUUAUUUCUGGCUUUGAAAUGGAGUCUGUCCUAUUUUACUUCCUAGGUCAGAGAGAGGCCGUUUCUAAUCCAUUAUCUCACCCCAGAUGUUCACAUUUCCUUCUAAAGUAUCAUGGAGGAGUGGCCAUGGGAAGACCCAGCUAUGGAAGCAGUUGUGAGAUACCUGGCCAUGAUUUGGGGAUACAACAUGGCCUCAAAUCCUAAGAGAUUAUGUGGUUUCUUUCACAGCCAGGAGCCAGAGGCGCCACACAUCAAAAGGUGGUUUUGAAGGGGCUGCCCCCAUCACUCCUAAUGACCUCCAGUGACAUUUUGUGUGUCCACCCUGCAACUUUGGGUUUCCCUGGUUUUGAAGUCCUGGUUCUCAUGGAAUUCACAGAAGAAGAAAUGCACAUGGUCACAGCUGCUCCUUGGCAUGACUGUGCCUCAACCCCAGACUUCCUGUCUAUCAUGGCAGAAGGAGAAUUCCUUGGCUUGAGGUGGAAGAAAUCACAGCAGGUUCUUCCAUGCCCUGGACUAGACAAGCCAUCGUCAGGGCGUCUGACAAGACUGUGUCUGCCUGGAAGGAGCGGGCCCUGACCCAGCCUAUGGGCCUGUGUGUGUUGGCAAAGGUUCACAAAGAUGUUGGACUCUGGUCCUGCAUAUUGAAAACAUUUUUCAGUGGAGCCCAGGUAUUUGACUGGAAAAAUGAUAAUAUUCCCUCUCGGGAUGUCAAACAUCCGGAUAAAUAGAAGUCUUUUUCCAUCUUCCCUCUGGCCCGAGGGUUACAAAGGACUCAUAGACACAGGCCUUUGGAACUGGCUAGCUCAGCCAGCGCAAGUACCAACCUGUACCACAGAGAGUGACUAUUUUUAAAAAGAGAGGGAAGUAUGUCGCCCAGGUUUGCUCAGAGAGCCUGGCUCCCUCAGGAGAGGAUGCGGGGCCUGCCUACCUUUCAGAUGGAUGCCUCUGAGUGGUGUCAGGGCAGCCACUGUGACACUUAAGGCUCAUAUCGCCAAGUGCUGCAUAGCAGGAGGCUGGGGCCAGCCUGGAAGGGAGAAGUUAGCCCACCCAGGACUGGGGCUAUGAGAAGGUGGGGGCAGGAAUUGGGCAGAAGGUGCUGUAGGCAUUAACUGAAGAGCUGUUUUUAUUUUCAAUGAACUGGAACCCAAGGAUGCUCAAGCUACAGGGAGCCUGUUGGUUAAAUAAAGACUUAAUGCAGACAUGCCCUCCCA
rnacentral:lncRNA from 1 species